rnacentral:rRNA from 1 species
AGAGUUGAUCAUGGCUCAGGACGAACGCUGGCGGCGUGCCUAACACAUGCAAGUCGAGCGAGGAGAUCCUUCGGGAUGAUCCAGCGGCGGACGGGUGAGUAACACGUGGGCAACCUGCCUCAUAGAGAGGAAUAGCCUUCCGAAAGGGAGAUUAAUACCUCAUAACAUUGCAGUUUCGCAUGGAACAGCAAUUAAAGGAGCAAUCCGCUAUGAGAUGGGCCCGCGGCGCAUUAGCUAGUUGGUGAGGUAACGGCUCACCAAGGCGACGAUGCGUAGCCGACCUGAGAGGGUGAUCGGCCACAUUGGGACUGAGACACGGCCCAGACUCCUACGGGAGGCAGCAGUGGGGAAUAUUGCACAAUGGGGGAAACCCUGAUGCAGCAACGCCGCGUGAGUGAUGACGGCCUUCGGGUUGUAAAGCUCUGUCUUCAGGGACGAUAAUGACGGUACCUGAGGAGGAAGCCACGGCUAACUACGUGCCAGCCGCGGC